GCUAUGUCAAAGACCUCUCUGUUAUGCAAACAAAAGCACAAUAAAUGAGCAUAAUUAGGAGAAUCAUUUCAAAACUAUAAUUCUGAUCUAACUCCAUCGUUAAUGACAACACAUUCUGAUUGAGCCAUCAUCUGCCUGGGCUUAGCUAACCAGAGGCUGUGCUCUGUUACUGUGUGAAAAGAAGGAUGCACUAUCCCCACACCAAAAUGCAAAUGCUCUGGAAUAACACAGAGUCCUAAGUAUGCCAGCACAGGAAAAUGUAGAAACUGGAAGGCCUUUGGAGAAAAUGAAAAAAGCUGUAUUGUAAAGAAAAAUAUUCUGAACA